CUUCCUGCCUGGGAAGAACUUCGCCAUCGCCUACUUCAAGGACGAGGGAUAUGACUACAAGAUGAUGAUGCUCAUGGGCCGCAGCUUGGAGGCAGAGCCAGAGUCUGCAAGGAUCUUUGAAGAGUUUGUCGAGAGCAAAGGGUUGAACAAGACUGAAAUCGUUAGCCCUCCCCACCUUGAUGCCUGUGAGUUACCCAGAGAUUCGUAGUGCUUGGAGGGAUGCUGCAGAAACCGCCUAGAACCAGGAGCGUGGGACAUCCUGCAG